UCUCCGGGGGUAGAGCACUGUUUCGGCUAGGGGGCCAUCCCGGCUUACCAACCCGAUGCAAACUGCGAAUACCGGAGAAUGUUAUCACGGGAGACACACGGCGGGUGCUAACGUCCGUCGUGAAGAGGGAAACAACCCAGACCGCCAGCUAAGGUCCCAAAGUCAUGGUUAAGUGGGAAACGAUGUGGGAAGGCCCAGACAGCCAGGAUGUUGGCUUAGAAGCAGCCAUCAUUUAAAGAAAGCGUAAUAGCUCACUGGUCGAGUCGGCCUGCGCGGAAGAUGUAACGGGGCUAAACCAUGCACCGAAGCUGCGGCAGCGACACUGUGUGUUGUUGGGUAGGGGAGCGUUCUGUAAGCCUGUGAAGGUGUGUCGUGAGGCAUGCUGGAGGUAUCAGAAGUGCGAAUGCUGACAUAAGUAACGAUAAAGCGGGUGAAAAGCCCGCUCGCCGGAAGACCAAGGGUUCCUGUCCAACGUUAAUCGGGGCAGGGUGAGUCGACCCCUAAGGCGAGGCCGAAAGGCGUAGUCGAUGGGAAACGGGUUAAUAUUCCCGUACUUGGUGUUACUGCGAAGGGGGGACGGAGAAGGCUAUGUUGGCCGGG
rnacentral:rRNA from 2 species